UCCUUUUUUGAUUUAAUUUGGGAUUUUAUUAAUAAAAUCAGCCUAAUACAUGAAUGGGAAAUUUAUAUUACAAUACCAAUACAAAACUGAUCCAAAUAUAAAAUGACCCAACUGAAAAACUAAAUGGAUUGGCCCAACUACUUGACCCGGUCUGGCAUACUCAUAUAAAAUGAGUAGGGUUUCCAAAUUCAACAGUAGAGCUGAGCUUCACUUUUCUCCAUCUCCUUCAUCAUGUUUGUCUUCACUAAUCUCCAAUUCAUUCUUUUGCAGUUGUAGGUGGUAAAUACCUUGCCAUUAUUGCUCUAAGUUGAUGAUUCCAGCUUGCAUGAGUGAAAUCUUCAGUACAUUUCCAUUACUUUUUGGUGCUAAAACUCUGGGUCUCGUCUUCUGAACCUUGACUCCUUCUAAUACUACUGCUGGGAUGGAGAUACUGGGAUGCUCGGACCCAUUGAUAGUUAAGGAGGAACAAAGAUCUCAAUCGCUUAAAUUUGAUCUGACUUGGUGACCCCCAAUCUACUGAGAUUCCCUUUUUAUUGGCUAGCGUAGAUAGGCAAACUAGUAUUUUCACUUUUUUGUUUAGCUUUCCUGUUUGUAUGUGUUGUAUGUGAAAGAACUUGUUGUAGCCUUUCUAGUCCUUUUAACUUUUUUCUACUCUUAUCCUCAGAUAUGGACAAUUUUAUUGGUCACUAUUUAGUAUUUUUCUAUCUGAACUUGGUAGCUGGUUGAAUGCUGUAAAUAUAAACUUUUCCUGCUCAAAUGCUAAAUUAGCUAAGUAAUCUGCAAGUUGGUUGCCUUCACUGAAUGUGUGACUAAAUUGUACUUGCUUGUGUUGUAACAACAUCUUUAUCCUGUUUAUUGUAUCUGCAAUAUUGUAUGGUA